UUUUGACAUAAUGCACGCGUACGGAUGGAAAUUGAGGAUCGGCAAUCGCAACUAAAGAGAGCACUUUUGCAACUAUACUUUUGAUAUACUGCUUGUUGGAUUCUAAGUUGAAAUGAAGGAGUUAUUGGAUUUUGAAGUCAACACAUGCAAUCUAAGGGUAGUAAGUGACCUGAUUUAUUAGUGGUUGUGUCUUGAACUAUAUCUUGAGCAAUUUGAUAAGGUUUUGGCUCAAAAUUUCAGAAAAUGUGUAAUUUUAUGUUAAUAAA
rnacentral:lncRNA from 1 species